rnacentral:sRNA from 1 species
AAUGAACUUCGUUUGCAGUGGAAAUCCUUUUUGAGGCUUUUUCUACCUCAAAAAGAUUGUAACGUGAGCCCGACCCCAA